AAACAGCAAGAUCAUCCAACCUAGUUCUUGAGGAUCGAGCUAUGUUGCCGAGGAAUCCGGGGACAGGUCAAAGGAGAAUGCUGAAACACUAAAAUUCAAAUCUGCAUUAUCUCUAUAAACAAUAUCAACUAUCAACAUCCUGUGCAAUGCUGUCGCCUCAAUUUUCAAAACCUCUACUCCUUCUUACUAUCACCUACUCCUUUCUACCUCUGCGCCCACACACACAAUGAAACUCUUCAUACCGCCUUUCUUUCUAUUUCUCAUCUUUACCUUCAAUGUCUCUUGUGUUUUUCAAGGAGAAGCACUUAUCACCCAAGGAGUUGCGGCUUCUGGGACUUCUGCAACUAUUAGAGGUGGAUGUGGAAAGCAAAGGGGUGAAUGCAAGGAAGAAAGAAGUGGGUCGGAAGAAAGUGUAUUAGAGAAUGAAGAUUAUGUCUAUACCAACUCCUUGCCUUAGAUGUUAUGUGUUGAUGUUGCUGAAUUCAUUACAGAUUGUCCAAAUCUAAAGCUGGCCACAUUGACGAUUGUAAAGGAUCUAUAACUUCUUAUUUAUUGUUUACCGGUUUAUAACAUUAGUGACGAUGUUGUUUCUUUCGCAGUUAGACACUUUCUUGCUGUUCACUGGUAUUUCAUUACUGAAGUUCUAUGUCUUCUCGAUU